AGAAUAGUUAAAUAAGAAACAAAUAAAUCUCAUACUUACCCAAAACUUGUUGACUCGUUGGAUGUUGUUUAUUUUGUGUUGUAGCUGUCACUUGCCUCAUUGUUGGUCUCCAUGGAAACUCUCCAUAACUCAGUGGAGAGAAAUUCCAUGGGAAAGCAAUGGGUGCGUUCCGGAAGAGAUCUGGGUUUGGUGUAUUGUCGUUUAAGUUGGUUGAAUUGUUAAGUUGCAUGUGAAUGAAACUUUGUUUUAUGUCCGUGUUUAGUUUUCAGUAUUGACGUUUAAUGCAUGUCAUUGCAGUGGUUAGGUGAUUCGUAUUCAUACGUUUUGUGGUUACUUUGUCAUUAUGUGUAUGGAUUUUUUUUAAAUGUUCUGGUUUCAUGUGGUUCGGUGUUACAGGUCUCUCCGAUUUCGACCGUGGAACACACCCUUAGUUCUUGGGACACCGAUACCCCUAUUCUGUUGGAAGUGUUCUAAUACCUACGUGGUUUCCCACUAUUUGAGUGUGAUGAUGUUGGUUGGGGGUAUAUGUAUGGAUAGGUGGAUCGGAUGAUGUGUUCCUGUUAGAGAUAGAAUACAUCAUCCGAAUAUUUUUUUGCCGGUGUUUGUGGGAUGAUAAUUUCAGCCCUCCCUCAUUUGGCCAUCUACCACACAGUGGAUUAAAAAGUGAGUGAUAGUGGUAGAAUUAAAUUCAAAUAUUAAAAAAGAAACAGUUGGACCACCAGAUUCUAAAAUAGAAAGAAAAGAUAUUUAAGAAAGUGAAAUAAGUGGAAUGUUAAUUGGUGCCAACAAUUUUGGAUAAAGAAACCCAGCAAACAACAAGAAAAGUUUGAUUCCCGGCGGCCCGAAUUAAAUUAUGGAGAGCGGGGCCGCCGCCCAAAAAAAAAAAAAACAAAAAAUUUGAAAUUUAAUAAAAAUUCAAACAAAUUUUGAAAUUGGAUAAAAUUCAAAAAAAUUUUGAAAGUGAACAAAAUUAAAAAUUGAACACAAAUUUGAAAUUAAAUAAAAUUUAAAAACUAAAACCCAAAGAAGAAAAAUUUGAAAUUAAAGGAAAUAAAAAACAAAAAUAACUUGAAAGAAAAGGAAAUUUAGACGGGAACCAAAUUGAAGGAGAAAAAAGCAAUCAAUUUAUAAAUUAUAUAAACAUAUGCGUACAUCUCCAUAUCAUACAUAUAUUUCUUCGUACCUAACCAGUGGAUCUUUUUGUGUUUGUGAUUGUCCUAUAUUUAAGUU